rnacentral:rRNA from 1 species
UACGUAGGGGGCAAGCGUUAUCCGGAUUUACUGGGUGUAAAGGGAGCGUAGACGGAUGGAUAAGUCUGAAGUGAAAGCCCGCGGCUCAACUGCGGGACUGCUUUGGAAACUGUGCAUCUUGAGUACGGGAGGGGCAGGCGGAAUUCCUGGUGUAGCGGUGAAAUGCGUAGAUAUCAGGAGGAACACCGGCGGCGAAGGCGGCCUGCUGGACCGAAACUGACGUUGAGGCUCGAAAGCGUGGGGAGCAAACAGG